rnacentral:rRNA from 1 species
CAAGGUUUCCGUAGGUGAACCUGCGGAAGGAUCAUUGUCGAAUCCUGCAUAGCAGUACCACUCGCGAACAAGUUCACAAACAUAGGACCUAAUCAAUUGUAGGGAAUUCCUUGCGUUUGAUUUGUACCUAACGGUGCCUUGGCAAUUUGCUUUGGUGCUUAACAAACCCCCGGCGUGAGAAGCGCCAAGGUAUACUCUAAUAAGGGCUUUAUCCAUCCUCUCCCGUUUGCGGGAUAAAGAGGAUUGGAGACAGCUUCUUCUAAUCUAAAACGACUCUCGGCAACGGAUAUCUCGGCUCUCGCAUCGAUGAAGAACGUAGCGAAAUGCGAUACUUGGUGUGAAUUGCAGAAUCCCGUGAACCAUCGAGUCUUUGAACGCAAGUUGCGCCUGAAGCCAUUAGGCUAAGGGCACGUCUGCCUGGGCGUCACACAUCGCGUCACCCCUCCAAUUAUGUUGGAUGUGGUGGAAUAUGACCUCCUGUGCCUUGUGGUGCUGUUGGUCGAAAAUUGAGUCCGGAGCUUAGGAUGUCACGGCAAGUGGUGGUUGGAUAACAACUUGCGUCCUGUCGUGUGCCGAACCUCUUGUGAUUGAAAACUCCCUAAUGCACAUCUACCCUCCUCUUGGAGUUGGGAGUUGUGUUAUGACUGCGACCCCAGGUCAGGCGGGAUUACCCGCUGAAU